UACGAAGGGGGCUAGCGUUGCUCGGAAUCACUGGGCGUAAAGCGCACGUAGGCGGCUUCUUAAGUCAGGGGUGAAAUCCUGGAGCUCAACUCCAGAACUGCCUUUGAUACUGAGGAGCUUGAGUCCGGGAGAGGUGAGUGGAACUGCGAGUGUAGAGGUGAAAUUCGUAGAUAUUCGCAAGAACACCCGUGGCGAAGGCGGUUCUCUGGGACGGUACUGACGCUGAGGCGCGAAAGCCAGGGGAGCAAACGGG
rnacentral:rRNA from 1 species